rnacentral:tRNA from 1 species
GGGGAUAUAGCUCAGUGGUAGAGUGCUUGCCUCACAUGCACAAAUCCCUGGGUUCAAUCCCCAGCAUGCUCC